GGACUAAGUAUAAGCGCGGUCAUAAAUAUGAAGCUUACAAAAUGAUGAACCCACUCGUUUCUGAUUAUUCACCAGCCGGGUGGGUGUAUCAAGUGCGAUCUCUAUACUGUAGUGGGAAAGAGAACAUGAUGGACUUGGAUACGGCAACUGAAUUGGACCCCACUCUUCCUUACCCGUACAAGUAUAGGGCUAUUUUGAUGAUGGAGGAAAGUAAUGUUGAUGCCGCCAUCCAAGAGAUCAACAGAAUAAUUGGUUAGAGGGUCUCUCCUGACUGUCUUGAACUACAUGCUUGGUUUUCUAUUUCAAUGGGGGAUUAUGAACGUGCCUUGAUAGAUGUCCAGGCAAUUCUGACCUUUGAGCCUAAUUACAUGAUGUUCCAUGGAAAGUUGCACGGGGACCACUUGGUAGAGCUCCCCAGCCACCAUGUUCAGCAGUGGGGUCAAGCUGAGAAUGGAAUCAGACAUGGUCAAGAGUGACCUGUGCAUGGCAUCACAACUAGAUCCUUUAAGGACCUACCCAUACCGAUACCGAGCAGCUGUUCUAAUGGAUGACCAUAAGGAAGCUGAAGCCAUAUCAGAACUCUCGAAUCAUGCCAGACCUACAGCUGCUCCACCUUCGUGCCACACUCCACGACUUAAUGGGUGACUACAUUUCCACGCCAUGAUUGUGAGGCGGCUCUUUGUCUUGAUCCAAGCCAUACAGAUACAAUCGAGCUUUAUCAUAGAGCACGAGAGCCCUCCAAUGUACAGCAGAAGAAAAAGAGCUAAAGUGCUAAUCAUCAUGUGGACCCCAAUUUUUUUUUGUUGCAGACAAGGCCAGUUCCAGUCAACGUGUUUUGCUUGUCUGGAUUUUGGAAAGAUUCAGGUCCGGAUUUGCAGUGGCCUCGAAGAGAGAAUCAACACUGUGAAGGAAAAACAGGAACAGAUGGAAACGAUUAGUCUCUUUACAUGUAUAUAUUCGUGAAUAUAAGCAGUUCCAGUAUUUAGUCAUUUGAUGAAUUUAUGAGGCGAAAUGCUCCAAAGGCCUGAUUUGUGUAGCUGUUGGAUCACUACAGCAGUGAGUUGGGAUGGUGCUAAACAAAGUUAUCAACAUUCAAAUGAAACCAUGUAAAUGAAAUUGGCCACUGAGAGGUCUUCAAUGUACUGCAAUGUUUUC